GAUGAACGCUGGCGGUGUGCCUAAUACAUGCAAGUCGAGCGAACAGACGAGGAGCUUACUCCUCUGACGUUAGCGGCGGACGGGUGAGUAACACGUGGAUAACCUACCUAUAAGACUGGGAUAACUUCGGGAAACCGGAGCUAAUACCGGAUAACAUGUUGAACCGCAUGGUUCAACAGUGAAAGACGGUCUUGCUGUCACUUAUAGAUGGAUCCGCGUCGCAUUAGCUAGUUGGUAAGGUAACGGCUUACCAAGGCAACGAUGCGUAGCCGACCUGAGAGGGUGAUCGGCCACACUGGAACUGAGACACGGUCCAGACUCCUACGGGAGGCAGCAGUAGGGAAUCUUCCGCAAUGGGCGAAAGCCUGACGGAGCAACGCCGCGUGAGUGAAGAAGGUCUUCGGAUCGUAAAACUCUGCUAUUAGGGAAGAACAAAUGUGUAAGUAACUAUGCACGUCUUGACGGUACCUAAUCAGAAAGCCACGGCUAACUACGUG
rnacentral:rRNA from 1 species